rnacentral:tRNA from 1 species
GACCACCGGUAUAAUUAACUGUUAUUUACAUAACAUAACGUAUUAGAAACCUUGUAAAACAAGGUUUCUUUUG